rnacentral:rRNA from 1 species
ACGCUCGACACCUACGGGGGCAGCAGUGGGGAAUAUUGCACAAUGGGGGAAACCCGUGAUGCAGCGACGCCGCGUGAGCGAAGAAGUAUUUCGGUAUGUAAAGCUCUAUCAGCAGGGAAGAAACUGACGGUACCUGACUAAGAAGCACCGGCUAAAUACGUGCCAGCAGCCUCGGUAAUCUGAGGCGGGCGUGGCAAGGC